AUUGAACGCUGGCGGCAGGCCUAACACAUGCAAGUCGAACGAGUGGCGGACGGGUGCGUCAUGUCUGGGAAACUGCCUGUAGGCGGGGGAUAACUACUGGAAACGGUAGCUAAAACCGCAUACCAUCAGAUGUGCCCAGAUGGGAUUAGCGAGUUGGUGGGGUAACGGCUAACCAAGUCGACGAUCCCUAGAUGGUCUGAGAGGAUGACCAGCCACACUGGAACUGAGACACGGUCCAGACCCCUACGGGAGGCAGCAGUGGGGAAUAGUGCGCAAGGGGCGCAAGCCUGAUGCAGCAAUGCCGCGUGUAUGAGGAAGGCCUUCGUGUUGUAAAGUACUUUCAGCGGGGAGGCGUUACCCGCAGAAGAAGCACCGGCUAACUCCGUGCCAGCAGCCGCGGUAAUAC
rnacentral:rRNA from 1 species